rnacentral:rRNA from 1 species
GCACCGAGGAAGCUUGCUCCUUUGGCAGCGAGCGGCACACGGGUGAGUUAUGUCUGGGACACUGCCUGAUGGAGGGAGAUAACUACUGGAAACGGUAUCUAAUACCGCAUAGCGUCGCGAGACCAAAGAGGGGGACCUUCGGGCCUCUUGCCAUCAUAUGUGCCCAUAUGGUAUUAUCUAGUAUGUGGGGUAACGGCUCACCUACGAGACUAUCCCUAUCUGGUCUGAGAAGAUGACCACCCACUCUGGAACUGACACACGGUCCACACUCCUACGGGAGGCAGCAGUGGGGAAUAUUGCACAGUGGGCGCAAGCCUGAUGCACCCGUGCCGCGUGUAUGAAAAACGCCUUCGGGUUGUAAAGUACUUUCCGCGGAGAAGAAGGUGGAGAGGUUAAUAACCUCACCUAUUGACGUUACCCGCAAAAGAAGCACCGUCUAACUCCGUGCCAGCACCCGCGGUAAUACAGAGGGUGCAAGCGUUAAUCAGAAUUACUGGGCGUAAAGCGCACGCGCGCGGUCUGUCAAGUCAGAUGUGAAAUCCCCGGUCUCAACCUGAGAACUGCAUUCAAAACUGGCACGCUAGACUCUUGUAGAGGGGGGUAGAAUUCCGUGUGUAGCGGAGAAAUGCGUAGAUAUCUGGAAGAAUACCUGUGGCGAACGCGGCCCUCUGGACAAACACUGACUCUCAUGUGCGAAAGCGUGGAGAGCACACAAGAUUAUAUAC